CGAUUAAAAUAUAUUAGAGAAAUUACUAAGACAAUCCGGCAUCGCUACGGAUUAAUUUUUACUACGAAUUGUCGGAAUCUGUAGAAAUUACGCUGACAUUUGACGUAUUCAUUCAACUUUUGUCCAACGGAGCAUUGUUGCGAGUUUUCUGCGACCGUUGGAAGUGUUUGUGGAUUUCGGACAACUUUCGAAUAAUUAUUAGUGUUUAUUGCAAAGAAAACUAUUUAAAGUAGUUUUUUAACUAUCUACAAUGGUUCGCCAGUGCAUAGUUUGUUAAAGGCGGACUAUUCUAACUCCUGAUUGAUAUUUGGACGUUUUGGAACCCUUUACACUUUUACCCACACUUACCUAUACACCCACACACACACAAUUCACAGUACAUAUCUGGUGUUUUAAAUAGAGGAAAAUAAACCUUGGAAAAUUUUUCCUUUAGCGUUCCUAUAAAUACUGAGCUUAGACAAUGAUCGAUUUCACUCUUGAAUUUGAAAAAUCAAACUAACGUGUGUCCAAAUUUGUUCUGAUGAUUUUGAUAAGAGCAAUAUUAUGAUCGCCGAAUUAACUGAUCGAAGGCAAAUAAGACCAAAUUCUGAGCCUCAAAUAGAUAGUACCAUUUUUGCUGGGGCUUUAUCAUACAGCAUAGUAAGACAAUCCUCAUCUUCUGAUCUCUCAAUAGUUGGAUAUUUAUUAUCUCAAGAAAGUCGUCAAAGUAUCAGAAAAAGAAAGAAGUAUGUUAAUGAGGCAUUAUAAUGAUAUUAUGUAGAAAUUUAAGUCUUGUAAAAAUUUGGAAACAAAGAAAAUGAAAAAUACAUACUUUACAAAUAGGUCUUAGAAGAUUGAAAAAUAAAAUAAUAUCAAUGCAUCAGUUAAUUGAUUACUUAAAAGAAAAAUCUUUGAUAAGUGAAUCAACUGAAUUGACCAUUCAGGCUUCCUUAGCUGAACCAGUACAAAGUAUUUUUGAAAGAAUGUUAAAAGGACCUGCCACACAAAAAUCCAAUCUUCUGCUACUAUCCUUUGCUUUAACAUUGUCAUUUUAUUCGCCGAAAACAUAGAAUUUUAUAAGGGAUACAUAAACUGGCCCAGAGUUUUCUUAGGAGGCCUCUAAAUUCCAUUUAGUUUUCAACAAUAUUUUUGAUAUUUUUAACUCUCAGAAUGGAUUUACAAAAUAUUCAUAUAAAAAAAUUAUCAAAAAUAUAAGAACAACAUACUUUUUAAUAAUUUUGAGAUAAUUAAAUUGUAUAUUAUUGGACUUACUUUAAAAGACCAACCAUAGUCACAAAGAAAAACGGGAUUUUUGGGCUUUCUAAUUUGUAUGGAAAGCUUACAACAUAUGUAUAAAUACUAUGUAAAAGAAAAUCAAAUAUUAAAAUAUAUUUUGACUAACUGGUGGAGGUCCACGUAUACAAAAAGCAAAAACGGAAGAUAAUAAUAUAUUCAAUCAAUGUAAAAAUGAGAAGAGCAUUGUGGAUUAAAAAACAUGAUGGUGAUAGAUUGUCUAAAACUAAUAGGAGUACUGGUAUUUCUCAAAACAAAACUGAUGGUUACAAAGAAACAGAAGAAAAGGGAAGAUAUUAAUUUACUAGACAAAAGGCUGUUCUUUUGUAAUAUGGAGAUGGGCAAAAUUCAAAGUAGUAGUAUUCAAAACAGAGAAGAACAUAAGCUAAAGAAAAAAAGGGUUGUUAGACAUUGAAAUAAAAAAGAACAGUAAAGUU